CUAGUGCGGUUACAAGCCUAGUUCGGUUAAGACAAAAGAAUUGGGCCUGGUUCUUUUGUGCCGACCGGGCCCGGCUCCGGUUCUCUCUCUCGAACUGGGUCAGGCCCAAAAACUCGAUCCAGGUCCGGUCCGAAAACCCGACCCCGACUCGGUCCCUUUUUAAUUAAAUAAAUAA